CCUACGGGUGGCAGCAGUGGGGAAUAUUGCACAAUGGGGGAAACCCUGAUGCAGCGACGCCGCGUGAGUGAAGAAGUAUUUCGGUAUGUAAAGCUCUAUCAGCAGGGAAGAAAAUGACGGUACCUGAUUAAGAAGCACCGGGUAAAUACGUGCCAGCAGCCGCGGGAAUAAGUAGGGGCCAAGCGUUACCCUGAUUUACUGGGUGUAAAGGGAGCGGAGACGGGAGCAAAAGUAUGGAGUGAAAAGCCGGGGCUUAACCCCGAGAAUGCUUUGGAAACUGUGCAGCUAGAGUGCAGGAGAGGUAAGUGGAAUUCCUAGUGUAGCGGUGAAAUGCGUAGAUAUAAGGAGGAACACCAGUGGCGAAGGCGGCUUACUGGCCUGUAACUGACGUUGAGGCUCGAAAGCGUGGGGAGCAAACAGGAUUAGAUACCCGUGUAGUC
rnacentral:rRNA from 1 species